CUCGGCCACACCCACUGCCCUGGCAAUGCCCUCUUCCAGGAGAUCCAGAGCUGGCCUGGCUUCCAGGGGACACCGGUGGCACUCGGGCUCAGGUGAGGAGUGGCCCUGGCUGGAGAGCCUGGGCUGGACAGGGGCAGGGGAAGUUGGACACUGGUCCAGAUAGACACCAGACCAUGGAUCCUACUCUGGAUGGACACUGGUCCAGAUGGACGUUAGAGCCAUGGAUCCCAGCUGUACUCUGGUCUGGAUGGCCCCUGGCCCUGCAGCCCACCAGCUUGGCCAGCCCCAGACCAGAUGACCACCAGCCUAGACAUACCAUGGCCCACCCUACUGGCCCACCAGCCAUCCCAGUAGCCCCCACCCCAAAACCCCCCAGAAUAAACCUAAUUGCAGAACAUUG